rnacentral:rRNA from 1 species
AGAGUUUGAUCAUGGCUCAGGAUGAACGCUGGCGGCGUGCCUAACACAUGCAAGUCGAGCGAUCUUCUUCGGAAGAGAGCGGCGGACGGGUGAGUAACGCGUGGGUAACCUGCCUCAUACACAUGGAUAACAUACCGAAAGGUAUGCUAAUACAAGAUGAUAUAAGAGAUUCGCAUGAAUUUCUUAUCAAAGCUCCGGCGGUAUGAGAUGGACCCGCGUCUGAUUAGCUAGUUGGUAAGGUAACGGCUUACCAAGGCAACGAUCAGUAGCCGACCUGAGAGGGUGAUCGGCCACAUUGGAACUGAGACACGGUCCAAACUCCUACGGGAGGCAGCAGUGGGGAAUAUUGCACAAUGGGCGAAAGCCUGAUGCAGCAACGCCGCGUGAGCGAUGAAGGCCUUCGGGUCGUAAAGCUCUGUCCUCAAGGAAGAUAAUGACGGUGCUUGAGGAGGAAGCCCCGGCUAACUACGUGCCAGCAGCCGCGGUAAUACGUAGGGGGCUAGCGUUAUCCGGAUUUACUGGGCGUAAAGGGUGCGUAGGUGGUUUCUUAAGUCAGGAGUGAAAGGCUACGGCUUAACCGUAGUAAGCUCUUGAAACUGGGAAACUUGAGUGCAGGAGAGGAAAGUGGAAUUCCCAGUGUAGCGGUGAAAUGCGUAGAUAUUAGGAGGAGCACCAGUAGCGAAGGCGGCUUUCUGGACUGUAACUGACACUGAGGCACGAAAGCGUGGGGAGCAAACAGGAUUAGAUACCCUGGUAGUCCACGCCGUAAACGAUGAGUACUAGGUGUCGGGGGUUACCCCCCUCGGUGCCGCAGCUAACGCAUUAAGUACUCCGCCUGGGGAGUACGCUCGCAGAGUGAAACUCAAAGGAAUUGACGG